rnacentral:rRNA from 1 species
AGUGAACGCUGGCGGCAGGCCUAGCACAUGCAAGUCGAACGGCAGCACAAGAGAGCUUGCUCUCUGGGUGGCGAGUGGCGGACGGGUGAGGAAUGCAUCGGAAUCUGCCCAUUUGUGGGGGAUAACCUCGGGAAACCGGGACUAAUACCGCAUACGACCUACGGGUGAAAGCAGGGGAUCUUCGGACCUUGCGCAGAUGGAUGAGCCGAUGCCGGAUUAGCUAGUUGGAGGGGUAAAGGCCCACCAAGGCGACGAUCCGUAGCUGGUCUGAGAGGAUGAUCAGCCACACUGGGACUGAGACACGGCCCAGACUCCUACGGGAGGCAGCAGUGGGGAAUAUUGGACAAUGGGCGCAAGCCUGAUCCAGCCAUGCCGCGUGUGUGAAGAAGGCCUUCGGGUUGUAAAGCACUUUUGUUGGGAAAGAAAAGCAGCCGGUUAAUACCCGGUUGUCAUGACGGUACCCAAAGAAUAAGCACCGGCUAACUUCGUG